GCAUUUGUCUCCCCCGGUGUUGCUCUGUUGCCGUUCGUGGAUGAGCGAAGGCUGCGAGCUGCCCUAGAAGAGGUAUACCCAGACCUCACUCCAGAAGAGACUAGAACAAAUAGUCUUGGAGGCGAUGUCUUAUUUGUGGGGAAACAUCACCCAUUGCACGACUUCAUUUUAGAGCUGUAUCAGACAGGUUCCACAGAGCCAGUGGGUGUACCACCUGAACUAUGUCAUGGGAUUCAAGGAAAGUUUUCUUUGGAUGAAGAAGCCAUUCUUCCAGAUCAAAUAGUGUGUUCUCCUGUUCCCAUGUUACGGGAUCUGACACAGAAUGCUGCAGUCAGGUCAUUUUUCCAAAAUACGUGACAUUCGCCCAAAACACAGCUCUGAGCUUGCAAAUAAGUUUAAGAUGACCUCCGAUUCACGAGGAAAUGGCAGCUAUUAUUCCACCAGUGCUUUGAGAUUGGAGAGUCCCUGUAUUGCAGACCUCAGAGCAGAGCCUCUUGACUUUAAAUUAUGUGUAUUGUUAAGGUUACUGAUUUAACAAGCUUGUUUCUCAGCUUUCUGGUUUCCCCUGACAACUUCCAAUUCUUCCGGGAUUAGGAAAGUGGGAGGUAGGAAGUAGGAGUUCCUAGGGAUAGUUUGCUAUAUAGGAGCAAACAGACCUCUACACCCCAGAGGCCCACACAGCGUCACUGUAUUAUAACAGGUUGUUUUAAUUAUGUUAUAGUUGUGGCCCUGCAGAGUUGAAAAAGCAGACUGUUAU